CAGAGGUCCAUUGUCUGAUUAUCUGUCCAACCUUCUAUGAUACUUGUAUUACCUCCUGUUCUGGUACCAGGUCUUGUGUAUUUCUAUGCUACUUGUAUGUAUUAACUCCUGUUCUGGUACCAGGUCUUGUGUAUUUCUAUGAUACUUGUAUGUAUUACCUCCUGUUCUGGUACCAGGUCUUGUGUAUUUCUAUGAUACUUGUAUGUAUUACCUCCUGUUCUGGUACCAGGUCUUGUGUAUUUCUAUGCUACUUGUAUGUAUUAACUCCUGUUCUGGUACCAGGUCUUGUGUAUUUCUAUGAUACUUGUAUGUAUUAACUCCUGUUCUGGUACCAGGUCUUGUGUAUUUCUAUGAUACUUGUAUGUAUUACCUCCUGUUCUGGUACCAGGUCUUGUGUAUUUCUAUGAUACUUGUAUGUAUUACCUCCUGUUCUGGUACCAGGUCUUGUGUAUUUCUAUGAUACUUGUAUGUAUUACCUCCUGUUCUGGUACCAGGUCUUGUGUAUUUCUAUGCUACUUGUAUGUAUUAACUCCUGUUCUGGUACCAGGUCUUGUGUAUUUCUAUGCUACUUGUAUGUAUUACCUCCUGUUCUGGUACCGGGUCUUGUGUAUUUCUAUGAUACUUGUAUGUAUUACCUCCUGUUCUGGUACCAGGUCUUGUGUAUUUCUAUGCUACUUGUAUGUAUUACCUCCUGUUCUGGUACCAGGUCUUGUGUAUUUCUAUGAUACUUGUAUGUAUUACCUCCUGUUCUGGUACCAGGUCUUGUGUAUUUCUAUGAUACUUGUAUGUAUUACCUCCUGUUCUGGUACCAGGUCUUGUGUAUUUCUAUGAUACUUGUAUGUAUUACCUCCUGUUCUGGUACCAGGUCUUGACCUGGGUGUCGCUGAGCUGCAGUGCAGCAGCCAGCUCCAUGCGGUCCUGGACACUCAGGUACUUCUGUUUCUGGAAGCUCCUCUCGAGCCUCGACAGCUGCUGGUCGCUGAACGCCGUCCGAGCUUUACGAGGUUUCUUCAGACGAUCCAUCACAGGGUCCGAGGCCCCGCUCUGCACUGCGUGAUCGACAGGUGGAAAUGACAUCCCAUCAGACCCCUCAGUCCUGCAGUUUAUUAUUACUGAUAGAAUGUGACUGAAGACAUUCAGUAAAUAUUCUUAAAUGAGUUGGUCGUAUAGAGACAAAUAAAUAUUAUGGAAACAUUUGGACUUUAA